rnacentral:rRNA from 1 species
AUGAACAAAUUACAGAACCCUGUACUUGUUCUCACCAGCAGCAGCACGAGUAGGGGACCUCAAGCGGCAGCACACGAGAAGGGGAUCUCCGGGCGGCAGCACGAGCAGGGGAGGAGCAGCAAGUUGCGGAGAAGCAGCAGAAGGGGCUCCAGCUUGAGGUCCAGGAUCGCAAAAGAGCUUGAGGGAGCUCGUGGUCCAGGCGCGGCGGGAGCUCGUGGUCCAGGCGCUCGAGACCCAGGCGCGCGCGGGUCCUGGCCGGCGGCGGCGCAGGCCCUGCGAGGAAGGAGGGGAUAUCGUCGACGCAGGUCCUGGGCGGCGGAGGAGCACGUCUUGUGCGGUGACGGAGCAAGCAGGGCGGCGCAGGUCCUUGGCGACGGAGGAGCAGGCAGGGCGGCGCGGGUCCUGGGCCGCGGAGGAGCACGUCCUGUGCGGCAACGGAGAAAGCAGGGCGGCGCGGGUCCUGGGUCGCGGAGGAGCACGUCCAGUGCGGCGGCGGAGCAAGCAAUUGGGCGGCGCAGGUCUUGGGCUGACGACUGGCCUGGCGACGCGCGCCGGCGAUGGGCGGAGGAAGAAGGAAGAAGACGCGACCUGUAUGGUGACCUGUUUGUAACAAAUUUGAAGUUAUAA